rnacentral:rRNA from 1 species
AUACGGGAGGCAGCAGUGGGGAAUCUUAGACAAUGGGCGCAAGCCUGAUCUAGCCAUGCCGCGUGAGUGAUGAAGGCCCUAGGGUCGUAAAGCUCUUUCGCCAGGGAUGAUAAUGACAGUACCUGGUAAAGAAACCCCGGCUAACUCCGUGCCAGCAGCCGCGGUAAUACGGAGGGGGUUAGCGUUGUUCGGAAUUACUGGGCGUAAAGCGUACGUAGGCGGAUUAGUCAGUCAGAGGUGAAAUCCCAGGGCUCAACCCUGGAACUGCCUUUGAUACUGCUAGUCUUGAGUUCGAGAGAGGUGAGUGGAAUUCCAAGUGUAGAGGUGAAAUUCGUAGAUAUUUGGAGGAACACCAGUGGCGAAGGCGGCUCACUGGCUCGAUACUGACGCUGAGGUACGAAAGUGUGGGGAGCAAACAGGAUUAGAUACCCUGGUAGUCCACACCGUAAACGAUGAAUGCCAGACGUCAGCAAGUAUACUUGUUGGUGUCACACCUAACGGAUUAAGCAUUCCGCCUGGGGAGUACGGUCGCAAGAUUAAAACUUAAAGGAAUUGACGGA